rnacentral:rRNA from 1 species
AUUAGAUACCCUAUUAUUUUUAUUGUAAAGGAAGGAUACACUGGGGUACUAUUUGUAAAUAUCAUGAAACCUAAAGAAUUUGGCGGUAUUAUAAUCUAUUUAGAGGAAUCUGUUAUGUAAUCGAUAAUCCACGUUGGACCUUACUUAUAUUAAUUUUUUGUAUACCACUGUUUAGUGAAUAUAUUAAUAGAUUAUUUUCUUAAUUAUUGAUUAAUAAGAAUUUCAAGUCAAGGUGCAGUUAUAUAUAAGUAUUAAAUGGAUUACAAUAAAUUUUAUUUAAUAUGGAUAGUUUAUGUAAAAUUAAUUUGAAGGUGGAUUUAAUUGUAAUUGAAAAAAGAUUAUUAA